UACGUAGGGUGCGAGCGUUGUCCGGAAUUACUGGGCGUAAAGGGCUCGUAGGUGGUUUGUCACGUCGUCUGUGAAAUUCCGGGGCUUAACCUCGGGCGUGCAGGCGAUACGGGCAAUACUUGAGUGCUGUAGGGGAGACUGGAAUUCCUGGUGUAGCGGUGAAAUGCGCAGAUAUCAGGAGGAACACCAAUGGCGAAGGCAGGUCUCUGGGCAGUUACUGACGCUGAGGAGCGAAAGCAUGGGUAGCGAACAGGAUUAGAUA
rnacentral:rRNA from 1 species